UGCGUUCAUCACCACAACUGAGAGGAAGGAAAGAGCACUGGAUGUGGAGUGAGGAGACAUGGAUUCUGUCACUACCCUGCUCUGCAGAACCCAACAGUAUGUCAUUGAAACAAAACAAUACAAAACCCUGUCUGCAAAAGAAGACUCAUAAGUCAACAAUAACUCGGGUUUCAUAAAGGAAGAAAGUCUUAGAGGAGGAAAAUCAACCCAUUCAAAUACAGGAGCAUCUGCUUAACGCAAGACGGAACGAACCCCGCUGCCAGACCGGUGGUGUGGGCAGGCGAAUGUGUGCGUGUGCAUAGGAACAAGCCUAUAUAUGGAUGAGACAUUAGUGGCAACGAGAGGAGAGCCACCACGAUUGACAAAGCCACAACUAUUACGAUUUGAAAUAUCCCCCGCAGGCACUGACAUUUGGUGCCAGAAUCUCCCCGGAUUUAUUUUCAGGCAAGUGACUCACAACCUGGUCUCCAUAAGUAAUUCCAUUAAAAUGAGUCGCCGGUUCCACUAA
rnacentral:antisense_RNA from 1 species